UACGUAGGGGGCAAGCGUUGUCCGGAUUUACUGGGCGUAAAGCGCGUGUAGGCGGCUAUGUAAGUCGGGCGUGAAAUCCCACGGCUCAACCGUGGAAGUGCACCCGAAACUGCGUAGCUAGAGUCCUGGAGAGGAAGGUGGAAUGCUUGGUGUAGAGGUGAAAUUCGUAGAUAUCAAGCGGAACACCGGUGGCGAAGGCGGCCUUCUGGACAGUGACUGACGCUGAGACGCGAAAGCGUGGGGAGCAAACAGG
rnacentral:rRNA from 1 species